GGGGGAAACCCUGAUCCAGCCAUGCCGCGUGCAGGAUGAAGGCCUUCGGGUUGUAAACUGCUUUUGUACGGAACGAAAGGCUCUGCCCUAAUACGGUGGAGAUAUGACGGUACCGUAAGAAUAAGCACCGGCUAACUACGUGCCAGCAGCCGCGGUAAUACGUAGGGUGCAAGCGUUAAUCGGAAUUACUGGGCGUAAAGCGUGCGCAGGCGGUUAUAUAAGUCAGAUGUGAAAUCCCCGGGCUCAACCUGGGAACUGCAUUUGAGACUGUAUAGCUGGAGUACGGCAGAGGGGGAUGGAAUUCCGCGUGUAGCAGUGAAAUGCGUAGAUAUGCGGAGGAACACCGAUGGCGAAGGCAAUCCCCUGGGCCUGUACUGACGCUCAUGCACGAAAGCGUGGGGAGCAAACAGGAUUAGAUACCCUGGUAGUCCACGCCCUAAACGAUGUCAACUGGUUGUUGGGUCUUCACUGACUACAGUAACG
rnacentral:rRNA from 1 species